CCUACGGGAGGCAGCAGUAGGGAAUUUUCCACAAUGGGCGAAAGCCUGAUGGAGCAAUACCGCGUGCAGGAUGAAGGCCUUCGGGUCGUAAACUGCUUUUAUGUGCGAAGAAUUUGACGGUAACACAUGAAUAAGGAUCGGCUAACUACGUGCCAGCAGCCGCGGUCAUACGUAGGAUCCAAGCGUUAUCCGGAAUUACUGGGCGUAAAGAGUUGCGUAGGUGGCAUUAUAAGUGGAGCGUGAAAGCGUGCGGCUCAACCGCAUUAUUGCGUUCCAAACUGUGAAGCUUGAGUAUGGGAGAGGUAGAUGGAAUUUCUAGUGUAGGAGUGAAAUCCGUAGAUAUUAGAAGGAACACCGAUGGCGUAGGCAGUCUACUGGCCCAUUACUGACACUAAGGCACGAAAGCGUGGGGAGCAAACGGGAUUAGAUACCCCGGUAGUCCACGCUGUAAACUAUGGAUGCUAGCUGUGACACACAUCGACCUGUGUCGUAGCGAAGUUAACGCGUUAAGCAUCCCGCCUGGGGAUACGGUCGCAAGAUUAAAACNCAAAAGGAAUUGACGG
rnacentral:rRNA from 1 species